UACGGAGGGUGCAAACGUUGCUCGGAAUCAUUGGGCGUAAAGCGCACGUAGGCGGCUCGUUAAGUCGGAUGUGAAAGCCCUGGGCUCAACCCAGGAAGUGCAUACGAAACUGGCGAGCUUGAGUAUGGAAGAGGGUCGCGGAAUUCCCGGUGUAGAGGUGAAAUUCGUAGAUAUCGGGAGGAACACCAGUGGCGAAGGCGGCGACCUGGGCCAAUACUGACGCUGAGGAGCGAAAGCGUGGGGAGCGAACAGG
rnacentral:rRNA from 1 species